rnacentral:tRNA from 1 species
GCCCUGAUGGUCUAGCGGUAUGAUUCUCCCUUAGGGUUAUCCUCGUGAUAUCUUGUUUGGGAGAGGUCCCAGGUUCAAUCCCUGGUUAGGGCC